UUGGUUACAUAUAUAUACCCUGGGAGGCCUCUUUCUAAUGUGGCCUUCAAGACCUGUCAGUCGUUAUAUUAGCAUGUCAGAAGCUCUUAUGUUCCUUGGUGACUUCAAAUCAGUCCACUACAUGAAGAACACCCCAAACUCAUGUUUGUUGUUCAGCUUUAUACAGGAAAUGGGUUCUUAGCUUCUACACUAAAAGACUGUUUAUUAUUAUUCAUUAUAAUAUAUGAACAUUUUUUUUGUUUUUUUAUUAGUUUCAAUGCUUCGAACCUUAGAAAUCAAAGAAGCAAUGUUUUCUUUGGUUUAAAGAAUAUAUUCAUGUAAAAUAUUUUUAAUUUAUCAGUGAAAGAGAUUCUAUAGCAACCUCAUAUAAUA